rnacentral:rRNA from 1 species
AUGGCGACGCGGGCACGCCGAGCUCUCAUCUCCCUCCUCGCCCUGCUGCUCGUCUCAGCCAGCGGUGUGGCGUCCAAGUCGUUCGCCAUCACCAACAACUGCGAGUACACGGUGUGGCCGGGCAUCCUCUCCAGCGCGGGCUCCCCGGGGAUGGACAGCACCGGCUUCGCGCUGGCCCCGGGGGAGUCGAGCACCAUGCCGGUGCCCGCGGGGUGGUCGGGGCGGCUCUGGGGCCGGACGCUCUGCUCCACGGACCCCGCCGGCAAGUUCGCGUGCGUGACCGGCGACUGCGGCUCCGGGCGGCAGGACUGCGCCGGCGGCGGGGCCGCGCCGCCCGCCACGCUGGCGGAGUUCACCAUGGACGGCAACGACGGCAUGGACUUCUACGACGUGAGCCUGGUGGACGGCUACAACCUGCCGAUGCUGGUGGCGCCGGAGCAGGGCGCCGCGGCGGGCGGCAACUGCGCGCCGACGGGGUGCGUGGUGGACCUGAACGGCGCGUGCCCGGGCGACCUGCGCGUGUCGUCGACGACGGCGGGGGCGGGCGGCGUGGCGUGCAAGAGCGCGUGCGAGGCGUUCGGGACGGCGCAGUACUGCUGCAGCGGCGAGUACGGCAGCCCCGGCACGUGCCGGCCGUCGGCCUACUCGCAGUUCUUCAAGAACGCGUGCCCGCGCGCCUACAGCUACGCCUACGACGACGCCACCUCCACCUUCACCUGCGCCGGCGGCGUCUCCGCCUACGCCAUCACCUUCUGCCCCAGCACCACCAGCGUGAAGUCGGCCGGGUCGAACCCGCAGGCGCCGGCGGGCCUGCCGCUGAUCAACGGCACGAUGGUGUACCAGGGGGGCGACCAGUUCGCCGGAGCGGCCGCAGCCGCGCGGCCGUCUCUGGACCUCGUCGCCGUCCUCGUCGGCGUGGCGGCGCUCGCGCUCGCGCGCCCCACGCCGCAGUGA